rnacentral:rRNA from 1 species
CGCGUAGGCGGCAUGGCAAGCGGGAUGUGAAAGCCCUCGGCUCAACCGGGGAAGUGCAUUCCGAACUGCUUUGCUUGAGUUCGAGAGAGGGUGGUGGAAUUCCCGGUGGAACGGUGAAAUGUGUAGAUAUCGGGAGGAACAUCUGUGGCGAAGGCGGCCACCUGGCUCGAUACUGACGCUGAUGCGCGAAAGCGUGGGUAGCAAACA